rnacentral:rRNA from 1 species
CUCUUCGGGGAUGAUUAAACCGGCGCACGGUGAGUAACACGUGAGUGACCUGCCUUUUAGACUGGAACAACUUACCGAAAGGUGAGCUAAUGCCGGAUGAGUUAUAUAAGUGCAUGUUUAUAUAGGAAAAGUUGGGGAGACCUGACGCUGAAAGAUGGACUCGCGUCCCAUUAGCUAGUUGGUAGGGUAAUGGCCUACCAAGGCGACGAUGGGUAGCCGGCCUGAGAGGGUGGCCGGCCACACUGGGACUGAGACACGGCCCAGACUCCUACGGGAGGCAGCAGUGGGGAAUUUUGCGCAAUGCUCGUAAGAGUGACGCAGCGACGCCGCGUGAAUGACGAAGGCCUUCGGGUCGUAAAGUUCUUUCGACAGGGAAGAAAAUGCCUAUAAGUAACUGUGUAUGUAUUGACGGUACCUGUAUAAGCAGCCCCGGCUAACUCCGUGCCAGCAGCCGCGGUAAUACGGAGGGGGCGAGCGUUGUUCGGAGUGACUGGGCGUAAAGAGCACGUAGGCGGUGUUGUAAGUCAUUAGUCAAAGACUAGAGCUCAACUUUAGUAAGGCUAGUGAUACUAUAAUACUAGAGUAUCAGAGAGGAUUGCAGAAUUCCUGGUGUAGCGGUGAAAUGCGUAGAUAUCAGGAGGAAUACCGUUAGCGAAGGCGGCAAUCUGGCUGGAAACUGACGCUGAGGUGCGAAAGCGUGGGUAGCAAACAGGAUUAGAUACCCUGGUAGUCCACGCUGUAAACGAUGGAUGCUAGGUGUUGGGCUUUUAAGUUCAGUGCCGCAGCAAACGCGAUAAGCAUCCCGCCUG